rnacentral:lncRNA from 1 species
GUUUUUAGAUGAAUGCUUACCUUGGGACUGCAUAUUGUAGAAAUGGGGGGCAGCCCGCACGAAACAAUUCAUAACAAAAUGAGAUCUUCGACACAGUUCUUAUGAGUCCCCGGACUCAUAUGUAGAAAUGUGCCCUCUGUUAGCAUUCAAUUUUUGAAAUGGAUUUUAGCCCUAGUUUACGAAACACCAGUUUUAUUUCUCAGAGUGCGGUUCGUUCCUUUGCGCUUUUCUUUCUAACGAAACCCUUGUUUUGAAAUUCUACG